AUGCUGUCUUUAGAGCUGCAGCCUGUAAUCUUACACUUUUAAUGUUGUACAAAAGCGAAAAAUAUAAACAAUGUGCAAAAUAUUAGAUACUGAAAACUAAGAGUAAAAGUCUUUAUAUUAUCACCGAAUACAUUUACAAAACGUGAAGGCUUCUAAAAUCAGGGUUCUGACCUCGUUUGUGAUCGUUCAAAAACACUUCCACGUCAAGCAGAUCAGGGUUCUAGGAACUCACGCAGAGUAUCGCGACACUUCACGAGAUCACGCUCUGGAAGCAGGUGAUUUGUUAUUUCAAAGUUUGAAACCUGCAACGAGGAUCUUCAGCGUCAAAUUCUCACCGUUUACAAGGAUUAUGGAGCCUUAAAACUCCAACCAUUACUGUUGCAACAAAAAUGAAGAGCAACAUCAGAGCAAUCAGCCGUCCAGCUUUGACUAGAUUCCAGCUCAAAACAAAGACAUUGGAUGCAUCAGAAUGGGGCGGAGCAUGGAGUUUGUGACCCCGCCCAGUUAUUUUCGUUUAGGCUGAUCCUGAUUCGACCCGUCAAAAGAUUUGAACGAACUGCCAAACGUCCGGCCGACAGCAUCACAGCUGAAGCCCGUUUGCGAUGAAGAUGGUCUCCUCAGCAGAAUUUGGUCUGUUGCUGCGGGGAACUGCCCCGCGCACAGUCACCGCCAUCCGCGCAGAGAAGAUGAGCAGAUCGAUGCCAUCCAUUUGUCAGCGCCAUGACCGCUCUGAGUAACAAACUUUUGAGAGGAUUCUCAUCUCUGGGCUGACCUCACCUCCGUGUGUAGGUGCAUCAAUGUGCUUCACUUUCAUCUUGUUAUUUUUUAGAAAAAUGGGGAAAACAAAAUACUUGAUGUAAUUCUAAAAAGGUUAAAAGGUUGUUUUUCAAAAUAAAGCUACAUGUUUUCCAAGAAAAAUCUUGCAUUUUUCACUUAGAU
rnacentral:lncRNA from 1 species